rnacentral:rRNA from 1 species
UAAGGUUAAGUUAAUAAGGGCGCACGGUGGAUGCCUUGGCACUAGAAGCCGAAGAAGGACGUGACUAACGACGAAAUGCUUUGGGGAGCUGUAAGUAAGCGCUGAUCCAGAGAUGUCCGAAUGGGGGAACCCACUAGCUACUGGCUAGUAUCCAUAACUGUUAAGGUUAUGAGAAGGAAGACGCAGUGAACUGAAACAUCUAAGUAGCUGCAGGAAGAGAAAGCAAACGCGAUUGCCUUAGUAGCGGCGAGCGAAACGGCAGGAGGGCAAACCGAGAAGUUUACUUCUCGGGGUUGUAGGACUGCGACGUGGGACUUUAAAAGGAUAGAAGAAUUACCUGGGAAGGUAAGCCAAAGAGAGUAAUAGCCUCGUAUUUAAAAUUCUUUUGAGCCCUAGCAGUAUCCUGAGUACGGCGAGACACGCGAAAUCUCGUCGGAAUCUGGGAGGACCAUCUCCCAACCCUAAAUACUCUCUAGUGACCGAUAGUGAACCAGUACCGUGAGGGAAAGGUGAAAAGCACCCCGGGAGGGGAGUGAAAUAGAACCUGAAACCGUGUGCCUACAACAAGUUCGAGCCCGUUAAUGGGUGAGAGCGUGCCUUUUGUAGAAUGAACCGGCGAGUUACGAUAUGAUGCGAGGUUAAGUUGAAGAGACGGAGCCGCAGGGAAACCGAGUCUUAAUAGGGCGACUUAGUAUCAUGUUGUAGACCCGAAACCAUGUGACCUACCCAUGAGCAGGUUGAAGGUGCGGUAAGACGCACUGGAGGACCGAACCAGGGCACGUUGAAAAGUGCUUGGAUGACUUGUGGGUAGCGGAGAAAUUCCAAACGAACUUGGAGAUAGCUGGUUCUCUCCGAAAUAGCUUUAGGGCUAGCGUCGAUGUUAAGUCUCUUGGAGGUAGAGCACUGUUUGGGUGAGGGGUCCAUCUCGGAUUACCAAUCUCAGAUAAACUCCGAAUGCCAACGAGAUAUAAUCGGCAGUCAGACUGCGAGUGCUAAGAUCCGUAGUCGAAAGGGAAACAGCCCAGACCACCAGCUAAGGUCCCAAAAUAUAUGUUAAGUGGAAAAGGAUGUGGGGUUGCACAGACAACUAGGAUGUUAGCUUAGAAGCAGCUAUUCAUUCAAAGAGUGCGUAAUAGCUCACUAGUCGAGUGACCCUGCGCCGAAAAUGUACCGGGGCUAAAACAUAUUACCGAAGCUGUGGAUGACACGUUAGUGUCAUGGUAGGAGAGCGUUCUAUGUGUGAAGAAGGUGUACCGUGAGGAGCGCUGGAACGCAUAGAAGUGAGAAUGCCGGUAUGAGUAGCGAAAGACAGGUGAGAAUCCUGUCCACCGUAAGACUAAGGUUUCCAGGGGAAGGCUCGUCCGCCCUGGGUUAGUCGGGACCUAAGGAGAGACCG